rnacentral:rRNA from 1 species
UACGUAGGGGGCAAGCGUUGUCCGGAAUUAUUGGGCGUAAAGCGCGCGCAGGCGGCUUUGUAAGUUUGUCGUUUAAGUUCGGGGCUCAACCCCGUAUCGCGAUGGAAACUGCAAGGCUUGAGUACAGAAGAGGAAAGUGGAAUUCCACGUGUAGCGGUGAAAUGCGUAGAGAUCGGGAGGAACACCUGUGGCGAAGGCGGCCACCUGGGCCGACCCUGACGCUGAGGCGCGAAGGCGUGGGGAGCGAACGGG